GACACUGAGCUGGGCUGUGCCGCGGUUAUGGGACUGUUGCCGUCGCCCCUUCCGAGGUUCAGAGUUCAAACUCGACGCCGCUCAAAAGAAUACUCUCGAUCCGAAACCGAUCGCGUGCUCGGUGUCGCUCAAUUCGAGCGAACGCAUCAUCGUGCUUCUGCUGCUGCGGAUCAAUCCUAACCGGCAACCAACCCACGAUAGAGUACUCUGUGAAUUCGUUUGGAUGGUACCCAUUCCGCUUUGAUUGCGGUGUUACCGGUGUAUUCAAUUGUUGUACGUGAAUGGUGCAUAAUCUGAGCUCGAGACUUUGGUUCCCGUAAUUGUAAUCGAGGCUGAAAUGGAUUCAUUGGCUUUUUUAAGGAACAAUAACCAAGAAAUAGCCUAACGAACAUGCAGUUUUUGGAAGACUGACGGCUAUUUUUUGCCUCUCUUCUUGGCUGUACUGGUCAUUCUUUUUUCUGUCGGAGUAGUAGCUGUUUUGGUCUUUAGUUCGCUAGGAGCUGCUGCGUUACGCUUUGUAUAAUAGUGCAGCCAUUCCUGCAAAUCUGAAACGUAAACUUGGAUAAGAAAGCACCGAUUACUCCUCUCCCAACCCUUUCUUUCCAUUCUUUGCACCGACCAGCUACCUUUGUUCUUGCAGUUCUUCAAUUCGAAGCAAGAGGUUUGCGUGCAGCUAUUCUGCUGUUGUGGGUUUAUAAGUUAGGUGUGCAGAUUGAUACGCUAACUUAGUCGCUACACGACAGACAACAGAACUCAGAUUAUACGCAAACUUAGUCGCUACCCGACAAACAACAAAACUCAGAAAGAAAACAUGCAUAAACUCAAGAGUAACUUAAUAGUAAAAGAAUACCCAUACAGCCUCUAAGCUUCUGAUUCUUACGAGUAAAAACAGUCCAACUUUUACAUGAGGUUCUUUCAAUACCAGACUGAAAACUAGUCGUCGGUGUAUACCCAGACGACCUAUAUGAGAUCUGGGUUCGGUCUAGUAUGUGCCACUGGGGCGUAUCGUUCAACAGUUCAACACCCCCCCUCGCCCCAGAAGCCCUAGUUGAUGCUCUUGUUGUAACUCUAGAUGCUUUAAAAAAACGUUACUUUCCUGUUCGAGGGCUUCUGAGUUUCUAUUCGCGGGAAGUUUGUGAUGUGUGUUGAUGGCGCAGUGUCGAGGCUUCUGCAUAGUUUUGUGGGCGUUGCUGAGAUUCUUCGCAAGCUCGUGUGAUUGGUUGCUGAAUCUGUUGGUGAGGAAAUUAUCUGCGGUGCCGAAGAAGAUUUCUGGUUUUUAGCCAAGUUGUAGGUUUUUAAUUAGCAUUAUUAGCCAUGUAGCAUCUGCUAGAGCUCUGUAUUUAGCUUCGGAAUAGAAUAGAGCUACUGUGGGUUGUUUAUUGGAUGACCAUGAAAUUGGUGUUGCUCCGAAGCUAAAAACAAACCCAGUUGUGGAUUGUGCUUGUUCCAUAUCACCUACCCAAUCAAAAUCUACACACAUAGUAAGGUGUGGUUGAUUGUUGGUUUGAUAUAAUAUCCUAUAGUCUUAUGAAUUUUUGAUAUAGCAUAGUAUUCUUUUUGCCAUUAAUAGGUGAUUGUUGAGGUUGCCAUAAAUCUAUUGAUCACUUUGUUGUUGAAUGUCAAGAUGAGU